CAGUAACCAGGAAGUGAGAGGUACAGAAUGAGGAAGGAGCAGAGAAAGGAAAUUGAACUGUACAGUGAAUAAAGUUGGAUCUCCACUGCAGGCUGAACGUGUUCUCCUUAUUUUAAGCAUACACAGAGAGAUUCAGACAUAACUGGCGACGAGGAAAAGGAAAUUAAACCCUGCAAAAUGUGGAUGAAAAAAUUACAACACAAGUUAUUGUAUCAUGCACUUCUUCCAAAAUAAGACGUAAAGCACUACAGGAUGAUUGCACCUUGCAAGACCUGCUCAAAAUGGCUUGUGCUUAUGACUAUGUAUCUUUUGUAUACGAAACGCGUCAGGACCUUUUUGUUUUAAAGAUCUCUACAAUAAAGACAAGUUUUUAGUGUA